rnacentral:rRNA from 1 species
UGUAAGCGUAUACCAAAGUUGUUGCAGUUAAAACGCUCGUAGUCGGAAUUUGGCAGUUCCGGAUGUGUGCACGUCGUGUGCGCACUUCGCGGGGAUUGCUUUUGUGGUCUUGCGUAGGAUGAGGCACUUUUAUUAGUGAACGUCCUCACGCAACCACUUUUUACUGUGAGAAAAUCAGAGUGCUCAAAGCAGGCAUUUGCCGUGAAUGUAUUAGCAUGGAAUAAUAGAAUAGGACUUGGUUCUAUUUUGUUGGUUUGUUGGGACUGAGUAAUGAUUAAGAGGGACAGUUGGGGGCAUUUGUAAUUCGGUGCUAGAGGUGAAAUUCUUAGAUUACCGAAAGACAAACUGCUGCGAAAGCGUCUGCCAAGGAUGUUUUCAUUGA